rfam:Oryza glaberrima chromosome 10 Oglab10_0055_9, whole genome shotgun sequence.
AAAAAGUCAAACCCUGAGUUUCCGUGUCCAACUUUGACUGUCCGUUUUAUAUGAAAUUUUUUUAUAAUUCGUAUUUUUAUUGUUGUUAGAUGAUAAAACAUGAUUAAUACUUUGUGCGUGACUUGUCUUUUUUAUUUUUUUCAUAAUUUUUUUAAUAAGACGGACGAUCAAAUGUUGGGCACGGAAACAGGUUUGCCUUUUUU